UAGGGAAUCUUCGGCAUUGGGGGCAACCCUGACCGAGCAACGCCGCGUGAGUGAAGAAGGUUUUCGGAUCGUAAAGCUCUGUUGUAAGAGAAGAACGUGUGUGAGAGUGGAAAGUUCACACAGUGACGGUAACUUACCAGAAAGGGACGGCUAACUACGUGCCAGCAGCCGCGGUAAUACGUAGGUCCCGAGCGUUGUCCGGAUUUAUUGGGCGUAAAGCGAGCGCAGGCGGUUUAAUAAGUCUGAAGUUAAAGGCAGUGGCUUAACCAUUGUUCGCUUUGGAAACUGUUAAACUUGAGUGCAGAAGGGGAGAGUGGAAUUCCAUGUGUAGCGGUGAAAUGCGUAGAGAUAUGGAGGAACACCGGUGGCGAAAGCGGCUCUCUGGUCUGUAAAUGACGCUGAGGCUCGAAAGCGUGGGGAGAAAACAGG
rnacentral:rRNA from 1 species